GGGCAUCAGUGAUACUUGCCACUCCCUGAUCAGCAAGUCCAAGUAGCAUGACGUCAUCAAUAGGUGGGUCAUAGUGAUGUUCUGUGUCAUGUCAGGAUGAGCAAGGUCCUUGCAGACAUGUAGACAGUGAAUGUAUACUGCUGUUCUUCACAUAUGAAGGCAACCACUAUAGAUUUUCCUUGUUGAUGGGGAUUGAGAAGAAAGCAUUUGCCAGCAAUCUGAAAGCCCUGUGCUGGGAUGGUGGUUUCCCAAAAUGGAAGCAGCCUGGAUCACCGAGUCACUGCAUGGAGGAUAGCUGCCCUAAAGACACACCCAACCCACACUGGAAUUUUCAUGAGCAAGAAAGAAAUCUUUAUUGUGUAUACUGAAAUUUAAGGGAACAGGAGGUUGAUUGCUCUUCAGACUUUAAGGGAAUGUUCCAUGCAGUCCUGUGGUUAGUCACAAAGCCUGAAGAUGAUAAACGUACUACAGCAUCGGCCAGUGUUUCCCUUCCAGGACCAGAAGUGGACGGAGCCUGAGCAAGCAGAAAAUAAUAAUACAGCUGGCAGCCUGGCAAGGGGCCAUAAUGAAACGCCUCCGAGUAGUCCUUAUUUCUGGAGCAGCCCUCCCUUCCCACCCCGCCUCACUUGCUGUGCUGGUCUGGGCACAGGGAUAGGGCCUUCCAUGUCCCUGUCCAAGGGAAGCCAGGGUAGUUUGCGAUCUUAAACACAGGGAAACACGGAAGUCAGCCUGCUCUGCCUCUGGCUCCCAAGGGGAAUUCCCAGCAGCUGUUUAAUAGAGUGCAUGCCCACCCAACAUUAUAUAAUUGUUCGAGGCGGGAUGAGAUGAGGUGAGAAAAAAUAAAAGAAUGAAUGACUCCUGUGAGAUUGCAGACAGUUGAGUAACCAGGUGGCAUGCUUCCCUUAAGGAAUGUUCUAGUGUGAUUGGGGAGUAAGUGUGAGAAGUGUUGUAGCAUCCUUGUGUUUUAGGGGAAUGAGGACUAGCCAGGGGCUUCUGCUAAGUAGGCAGUUUCCUUUGGGCUGGAGCUGGGACAAGUAUUUCCAGCUCAAAGCACCAGGGGACACUGUGGCAGAAGGAAGGGACAGAAGAG
rnacentral:lncRNA from 1 species